rnacentral:rRNA from 1 species
AGAAUCAACGCUGGCGGCGUGCCUAACACAUGCAAGUCGAACGAGAAAGUGGAGCAAUCCAUGAGUAAAGUGGCGACCGGGUGAGUAACACGUGACUAACCUACCUUCGAGUGGGGGAUAACCUCGGGAAACCGGGGCUAAUACCGCAUAACAUCUUUGAAGUGGAAAUUUCGGAGAUCAAAGGAGCAAUUCGCUGGAAGAGGGGGUCGCGGCUGAUUAGCUAGUUGGCGGGGUAACGGCCCACCAAGGCUUAGAUCGGUAGCCGGCCUGAGAGGGCGCACGGCCACACUGGAACUGAAACACGGUCCAGACUCCUACGGGAGGCAGCAGUGGGGAAUUUUGCGCAAUGGGGGAAACCCUGACGCAGCAACGCCGCGUGGAGGAUGAAGUCCCUUGGGACGUAAACUCCUUUCGACCCGGACGAUAAUGACGGUACGGGUGGAAGAAGCCCCGGCUAACUUCGUGCCAGCAGCCGC